UACGUAGGGUGCGAGCGUUAAUCGGAAUUACUGGGCGUAAAGGGUGCGCAGGCGGUUAUAUAAGACAGAUGUGAAAUCCCCGGGCUCAACCUGGGAACUGCGUUUGUGACUGUAUGACUAGAGUACGGUAGAGAGGGGUGGAAUUCCUGGUGUAGCAGUGAAAUGCGUAGAUAUCAGGAGGAACAUCGAUGGCGAAGGCAGCCCCCUUGGACCUGUACUGACGCUCAUGCACGAAAGCGUGGGGAGCAAACAGG
rnacentral:rRNA from 1 species